rnacentral:rRNA from 1 species
UAGGGAAUCUUCGGCAAUGGACGGAAGUCUGACCGAGCAACGCCGCGUGAGUGAAGAAGGUUUUCGGAUCGUAAAGCUCUGUUGUAAGAGAAGAACGAGUGUGAGAGUGGAAAGUUCACACUGUGACGGUAUCUUACCAGAAAGGGACGGCUAACUACGUGCCAGCAGCCGCGGUAAUACGUAGGUCCCGAGCGUUGUCCGGAUUUAUUGGGCGUAAAGCGAGCGCAGGCGGCUAGAUAAGUCUGAAGUUAAAGGCUGUGGCUUAACCAUAGUAGGCUUUGGAAACUGUUUAACUUGAGUGCAAGAGGGGAGAGUGGAAUUCCAUGUGUAGCGGUGAAAUGCGUAGAUAUAUGGAGGAACACCGGUGGCGAAAGCGGCUCUCUGGCUUGUAACUGACGCUGAGGCUCGAAAGCGUGGGGAGCAAACAGGAUUAGAUACCCUGGUAGUCCACGCCGUAAACGAUGAGUGCUAGGUGUUAGACCCUUUCCGGGGUUUAGUGCCGUAGCUAACGCAUUAAGCACUCCGCCUGGGGAGUACGACCGCAAGGUUG